rnacentral:rRNA from 1 species
AGUGAACGUUGGCGGCGUGGAUUAGGCAUGCAAGUCGAGCGAGAACCGUAGCAAUACGGGGACAGCGGCGAAAGGGACAGUAAUGUGUAGGUACCUGCCUCCGGGUUCGGGAUAGCUGCGGGAAACUGCAGGUAAUACCGAAUAACGUCUCCGGACCAAAGGUGUGAUUCCACCUGGAGAGGGGCCUGCAUCCUAUUAGCUUGUUGGCGGGAGAACGGCCCACCAAGGCGACGAUGGGUAGCGGGUGUGAGAGCACGACCCGCGUCAUUGGGACUGAGACACUGCCCAGACACCUGCGGGUGGCUGCAGUCGGGAAUCGUCGGCAAUGGGCGCAAGCCUGACCGAGCGACGCCGCGUGCGGGAUGAAGGCCUUCGGGUUGUAAACCGCUGUCGUAGAGGAGGAAAUGCAGGGAGGUUCUCCCCUCUGUUUGACCUAUUCUAGGAGGAAGUACGGGCUAAGUUCGUGCCAGCCGCCGCCGUAA